rnacentral:rRNA from 1 species
UAAAGGGGUUAGAAAGUUUUUUUGCCUACUACAGCGGCCCUACCCGGGGCUGCUAGUCUCCCUGCGAGGCGACACGCUCAAUGUGCGGAGAGCCCCUAGCAUUAGGGCAAUCCGCAGUGGCCUGCGCGGCCAUUCAGAGACUCAAUGAGCGUGGGUUCAGCGCGGCUGAGCUUGAGAUAGAGCCCGUCCCUGCCGGCAAUGGCGGGGAGUCAACGGAACCUGCGGAAGGAUCAUUACAGAGAAAAGGAUGCCCUCGGGCUUUUCUCCCACCCUUUGUUUACCACACUCAGUUGCCUUGGCGCACCGCGCCAGUGGAUCGAAACCCUUGAAUCGUUGCCGUCUGAGUACUAUUCAAUAGUUAAAACUUUCAACAACGGAUCUCUUGGUUCUGGCAUCGAUGAAGAACGCAGCGAAAUGCGAUAAGUAAUGUGAAUUGCAGAAUUCAGUGAAUCAUCGAAUCUUUGAACGCACAUUGCGCCCCCUGGUAUUCCGGGGGGCAUGCCUGUUCGAGCGUCAUUACAACCCUCAAGCUCCGCUUGGUGUUGAGCCCGCCCCGCUUACCCGGGGCUCGCUUCAAAGUCAGUGGCGGCCGCCGUCCGACCUUCAGCGCAGUAAUGCUCGUCGCUGCUAGGGAGGGCCAGCGCCGUCAUACAACCCCCACACACAAGGUUGACCUCGGAUCAGGUAGGGAUACCCGCUGAACUUAAGCAUAUCAAAAA